GGGACACGUGGUAUCCUGUCUGAAUAUGGGGGGACCAUCCUCCAAGGCUAAAUACUCCUGACUGACCGAUAGUGAACCAGUACCGUGAGGGAAAGGCGAAAAGAACCCCGGCGAGGGGAGUGAAAAAGAACCUGAAACCGUGUACGUACAAGCAGUGGGAGCCUCUUAAUGGGGUGACUGCGUACCUUUUGUAUAAUGGGUCAGCGACUUAUAUUCUGUAGCAAGGUUAACCGAAUAGGGGAGCCGAAGGGAAACCGAGUCUUAACUGGGCGUUAAGUUGCAGGGUAUAGACCCGAAACCCGGUGAUCUAGCCAUGGGCAGGUUGAAGGUUGGGUAACACUAACUGGAGGACCGAACCGACUAAUGUUGAAAAAUUAGCGGAUGACUUGUGGCUGGGGGUGAAAGGCCAAUCAAACCGGGAGAUAGCUGGUUCUCCCCGAAAGCUAUUUAGGUAGCGCCUCGUGAAUUCAUCUCCGGGGGUAGAGCACUGUUUCGGCAAGGGGGUCAUCCCGACUUACCAACCCGAUGCAAACUGCGAAUACCGGAGAAUGUUAUCACGGGAGACACACGGCGGGUGCUAACGUCCGUCGUGAAGAGGGAAACAACCCAGACCGCCAGCUAAGGUCCCAAAGUCAUGGUUAAGUGGGAAACGAUGUGGGAAGGCCCAGACAGCCAGGAUGUUGGCUUAGAAGCAGCCAUCAUUUAAAGAAAGCGUAAUAGCUCACUGGUCGAGUCGGCCUGCGCGGAAGAUGUAACGGGGCUAAACCAUGCACCGAAGCUGCGGCAGCGACACUAUGUGUUGUUGGGUAGGGGAGCGUUCUGUAAGCCUGUGAAGGUGGCCUGUGAGGGUUGCUGGAGGUAUCAGAAGUGCGAAUGCUGACAUAAGUAACGAUAAAGCGGGUGAAAAGCCCGCUCGCCGGAAGACCAAGGGUUCCUGUCCAACGUUAAUCGGGGCAGGGUGAGUCGACCCCUAAGGCGAGGCCGAAAGGCGUAGUCGAUGGGAAACAGGUUAAUAUUCCUGUACUUGGUGUUACUGCGAAGGGGGGACGGAGAAGGCUAUGUUGGCCGGGCGACGGUUGUCCCGGUUUAAGCGUGUAGGCUGGUUUUCCAGGCAAAUCCGGAAAACCAAGGCUGAGGCGUGAUGACGAGGCACUACGGUGCUGAAGCGACAAAUGCCCUGCUUCCAGGAAAAGCCUCUAAGCAUCAGGUAACAUCAAAUCGUACCCCAAACCGACACAGGUGGUCAGGUAGAGAAUACCAAGGCGCUUGAGAGAACUCGGGUGAAGGAACUAGGCAAAAUGGUGCCGUAACUUCGGGAGAAGGCACGCUGAUAUGUAGGUGAAGCGACUUGCUCGUGGAGCUGAAAUCAGUCGAAGAUACCAGCUGGCUGCAACUGUUUAUUAAAAACACAGCACUGUGCAAACACGAAAGUGGACGUAUACGGUGUGACGCCUGCCCGGUGCCGGAAGGUUAAUUGAUGGGGUUAGCGGUAACGCGAAGCUCUUGAUCGAAGCCCCGGUAAACGGCGGCCGUAACUAUAACGGUCCUAAGGUAGCGAAAUUCCUUGUCGGGUAAGUUCCGACCUGCACGAAUGGCGUAAUGAUGGCCAGGCUGUCUCCACCCGAGACUCAGUGAAAUUGAACUCGCUGUGAAGAUGCAGUGUACCCGCGGCAAGACGGAAAGACCCCGUGAACCUUUACUAUAGCUUGACACUGAACAUUGAGCCUUGAUG
rnacentral:rRNA from 1 species